CAGUAGCCACGGUAAUACGAAGGGGGCUAGCGUUGUUCGGAAUUACUGGGCGUAAAGGGCGCGUAGGCGGCCAUUCAAGUUAGAUGUGAAAGCCCUGGGCUCAACCUAGGAAUUGCAUUUGAUACUGUUUGGCUUGAGUUCGGGAGAGGUGAGUGGAAUUCCCAGUGUAGAGGUGAAAUUCGUAGAUAUUGGGAAGAACACCAGUGGCGAAGGCGGCUCACUGGACCGACACUGACGCUGAGGCGCGAAAGCGUGGGGAGCAAACAGGAUUAGAUACCCGCGUAGUCCCUGUCUCUUAUAA
rnacentral:rRNA from 1 species